UAGGCGACCGGGUGAGUAACACGUGACUAACCUACCCUCGAGUGUGGAAUAACAUCGGGAAACCGAUGCUAAUACCGCAUAAUAUCGCAAGAUCAAAGCAGUAAUGCGCUUGAGGAGGGGGGUCGCGGCUGAUUAGCUAGUUGGCGGGGUAAUGGCCCACCAAGGCUUUGAUCGGUAGCCGGCCUGAGAGGGCGCACGGCCACACUGGAACUGAAACACGGUCCAG
rnacentral:rRNA from 1 species